rnacentral:rRNA from 1 species
AACGAACGCUGGCGGCAGGCUUAACACAUGCAAGUCGAGCGCCCCGCAAGGGGGGCGGCAGACGGGUGAGUAACGCGUGGGAAUCUACCCAUCUCUACGGAAUAACGCAUGGAAACGUGUGCUAAUACCGUAUACGUCCUUCGGGAGAAAGAUUUAUCGGAGAUGGAUGAGCCCGCGUUGGAUUAGCUAGUUGGUGGGGUAAAGGCCUACCAAGGCGACGAUCCAUAGCUGGUCUGAGAGGAUGAGCAGCCACACUGGGACUGAGACACGGCCCAGACUCCUACGGGAGGCAGCAGUGGGGAAUAUUGGACAAUGGGCGCAAGCCUGAUCCAGCCAUGCCGCGUGAGUGAUGAAGGCCCUAGGGUUGUAAAGCUCUUUCACCGGUGAAGAUAAUGACGGUAACCGGAGAAGAAGCCCCGGCUAACUUCGUGCCAGCCGCCGCGGUAAGAC